ACAGUGGAAGUUUUGCUGCCCUGAUCCCUGCCUGGAAGUUCAGGGACGUGAGAAGCAUGGGAAGACUGACUGGCAGUGAAGAUUAAGGCAAAGAACCCAAUGACAUUUUCCCUGACUGUAUUAUCAUCAUUCAACAACUCCAUUGGGUCAACAAGAAAGGUACAGAUAAUGCACAGCAAGAAGUCCAAAAGAAAGAAGAUUAAACUGUAAUGUAAUGCGAUAAAAGAAGAAGAGAAAAAAAAAGCUGCAUGUAGCAAAGGCAUUCAUCCCUUGGUUACUGUCACAGUUCUGUUUUGGUCACAAGUUCUGCGCUUCCAGCUCUCUCCUCUUCCCCCCAAAAGAAAAAAAGGAAAUAGAAAAAAAGAGGUGAAACAACAACCGAACACAAAAACAAACAAAUACUCCGUAGCUCAGGAUCAAAUAAGAAAUAACAGGAAAAUAAAAUCCACAGAUAUUUACAAAUGUUAUUUUAUAAUUAAAUACAAAAAUACUUGGCUAUUACCAUUUGCUGAGGCCCAGCAUUUAAUAGCACUGUAAUCUUUCCUAUUAUGCAAUGAAUUUGACAUAAUGAAGAGACAGAAUAGGAUGUAUUAAAAAAAAAAAAAAAAAAAAAAAUCCUGAAUUUCACUUAAGGACAAAACUUUUGUAUAGCAACCAGUAGAAUAAAGUAUAUUCAGGGAUCUAUAAUGAGCCAUUUCUUCUCCACUAAGGGAUGAUCACUAAGGUUUUCAUUUUGUGUAGCUGAAAAAUGAACUGGGGUUGAUUAUACAUCUGAUGAUUUUGUUGGCAAGACACUGAUGUUGUUAUCUUCUUACCUUCAUCAGAUUUGGCUUCUCACAAGGAUUCAUUUGCUCUACAAACUUGUGUGGUUGUAAUCUUAAGUCUGUCCAUGAAAUUGCAACAUUCAUGUAUUCCACAAGGAAUGAAAGAAAAUUGUUAAGAAAAAUAAGACCAAGGAUAAUUUUCCAAUCUUUGAUAAUAUAGAGGUGAUUCCAUAGUUAAGAUGAUGUUGAACACUGAACACUGAACUCCAAGUAGAAUUACAAUGCUUGGGUUUUACAUUCAUUAGUAAGUUUUGCAUUACUACUACUGAAAGUACUGAAUUUUCAGUGUUUUCUUUAAUGGCUUUUUGAAGACUGUCAAACCUAUAGAGACUUAUCAGACAAAAUGUAGAUAUGUGCUAUUUAUUAUUGUAUGGGAGAAAAAAUUACAGAUCACAAUGCAUCUCAUUUUAUAUCAGCUUCCAAACUACAGCAGAUUAAUCCUGCUCAAGGAACGUCUGCCUGUGACUAGGGUAACAAUUUCAUAUUUGCAUAUCUAUGGACUGAAAGUAGCUGUUCGUACAAAGCUUUGAAUAGUUUUUGAGAUAUAUCAGCAUAUUCCCUUUGACAGAGGAUUCCUUUAAAAUUGUGAUAAAUCCAUCAUCCCUUUGUGACUAUGCAAGAGGACAAAAACCUAGCUGAAAUUUCUGUGUUAAUUUUAAAUGUCAUAUAAGGUUCCAUAUUAAAAUUCCUAAUUUAGAUUUUUGCUUAAGAACUCAGUCACAAGGGUCCCCACUGUUCUUCUUACAGAUCUUGCCAAAUCUGUAGAUCAAAUAGAGGCAUCUACUUCUGAACUAGUUAAUCAAAAUUGCUUACAUAAGACUGCCUUCAUGUAGAUGAUAUUUUGGGGAGUGAGGGGUAGGGGUAGCUGAAUCGCAUCCUCUAGACUGAGUAUAAAACAUAAAUGGAAAUAUCCAGAGCUAUGUAAUAUCUUUUGAGUCCAGCUGGCAUCUGAACUCGAUAAAUAAAUCUCUUGUAGGACCUGCUUCAACUCUGUCAGACUUGUCUCAGAUACAUAUUGCAUCUCAGAUGGCAGUGGAUAAAUAUGAUUAAGUAAUUGAAUCACACAGUGUGUAUGCAACUUAUUUAUGGUAAUGCCCAGAUAGUAGAAAUCUGGGAAUACAAAGUUAAUGGAAACAGGAGAUUACCUUACUGAAAUGAAGAGAUUCUUGACUCCAUAGCACAUAUGUGGGAAGACUGAGGGAUUCUCAUUUGUUAAUCAGUCAUAUAGUUGUGUAGAGAGUUGAUAAGAAACACUGACAGAGAAUAUCUGAAUAAUCUCAAAAUUGUUGAUGUCCAGAAACAUCAAAUCAUUCUCUGAAGUUUAUAAUCAAAUCUUCUGAAAUUAUUGUGAUGGAGUAACAGCGGAAAACAAACAAACAAACAAACAAAAACAAACAGAUUUAUUUGGCUUGUGAAAGAACUUGCUAAGAAAGCUGGAGAAUGAGUUUUAGACAUACCUUGUAAUGAAGGAAUUAGAGUAUAUUGUACAUUAUUUCUCUUUCACCAUUUUUUUCACUGCCAUGAGGAAAAAUUUAUUUGUGAUGAUUCUGUUUUCUGUCUUUCAUGAUGAAACUGAAAGGAAAAAAAAUAGGAUUUAUAGAUUCAAAAGGGGGGUGUUAGGGACAGGGGGAGAUUCACUUUAGUUCUGUGAUAAGCCACUUUGCUAAGAGGGGAGGAGGAUCCUGUAUAUAUGUACAUAUCCUAUAUAUAUGUAUCCUGGAUUCUGAUUUAAACUCACACUAUUGUUCAUUUACUUUACAUAUUAUUUUUCCCCCUAACAGGAAUAUGCACAAUUCCACAAAAAUUGAAAAUAUAGGUAAUUCUUUAUCAUCUCACAAGGUUUUAUCUAUGACUACUUUUUUAAUGUAUUCAUUUUAUGAUCUCAUUAAUGAUCUGUUCUUUACCUAAUAAAGAUUUGACUUCAGCAAUAGUGAGGGAAGAAUUAUUAUAGCAUACUUGGAAAUUAUGCCUUGGGUUCCAACUUUGUUCUAAUACUCAAAUGUUCCACAAUUUUGAUUAAUGUCUUGUUACUUAAUUAUUAUACAAAAAGUCAAGAAAAUAAUCUCUGUACAUAUUUUGAAAUAAAGAUCUCUCCAGGCACUG
rnacentral:lncRNA from 1 species